rnacentral:rRNA from 1 species
AGCGGCGAACGGGUGAGUAACACGUAGGUGAUCUGCCCAUCAGACGGGGACAACGAUUGGAAACGAUCGCUAAUACCGGAUAGGACGAAAGUUUAAAGGUGCUUCUGGCACCGCGGAUGGAUGUGCCUGCGGCGCAUUAGCUAGUUGGUAGGGUAAAGGCCUACCAAGGCGACGAUGCGUAGCCGACCUGAGAGGGUGAACGGCCACACUGGGACUGAGACACGGCCCAGACUCCUACGGGAGGCAGCAGUAGGGAAUCUUCGGCAAUGGGCGAAAGCCUGACCGAGCAACGCCGCGUGAAUGAUGAAGGCCUUCGGGUUGUAAAAUUCUGUUAUAAGGGAAGAACGACUUUAGUAGGAAAUGGCUAGAGUGUGACGGUACCUUAUGAGAAAGCCACGGCUAACUACGUGCCAGCAGCCGCGGUAAUACGUAGGUGGCGAGCGUUAUCCGGAAUUAUUGGGCGUAAAGAGCGCGCAGGUGGUUGAUUAAGUCUGAUGUGAAAGCCCACGGCUUAACCGUGGAGGGUCAUUGGAAACUGGUCGACUUGAGUGCAGAAGAGGGAUGUGGAAUUCCAUGUGUAGCGGUGAAAUGCGUAUAGAUAUGGAGGAACACCCGUGGCGAAGGCGGCUUCCU